rnacentral:lncRNA from 1 species
GUUGGCACAGAAAAAUCUUUAUGGCGACAAUAGAACACCUACCUAAGAAGAACACACUGGGAAGAAGUUUUCCGAGUCCUGGAGGUGUGAGUAAGAGAAAAUCCAGCCUUCUGGAACAGUGCUGACAGCUUCAGAGGGAGCAGGAAGGAGCAAAGAGAAAGGAGCCUGAGAUGUGUGGUUGCAGCUCUCCGAGGAGAUGAAAAGGACACAGGGUUUUGGUCUGAACUUCAUUAUCUGUAACUAAGAUACUGCCAUUCUUCAGCGGGUUGACAAGAUGUCUGUGGUAUACUUGGCAAGAUGGAGACUCCUCCAGGGCAGUAGUAGUCCUCAUAAUGCUCAGUAAUAGCCUUCACAAUGCUUCAGAUAUAGGAGCUAGGGGAAAGGACUUGAAUCGGAGAGAGUGUCGCUGUCGGUUCUGUUCUGUCCUGGGAAGUGCACGAGGAAGAGAAAACGUCCGGGGAAGAGAGAGGGUGGCUGGCACUGAAGGGGAGGGUCUGCGGCAACCCCUAUGUUUUAACUGAAAACUGAAAUCAACAAAUAGCAACAGAACUAUUACUAGUACAAAAUCCACCUGGAUG